rnacentral:rRNA from 1 species
UACGUAGGGGGCAAGCGUUGUCCGGAUUCAUUGGGCGUAAAGAGCUCGUAGGCGGUUCGCUAAGUCAGGUGUGAAAUCUCCACGCUCAACGUGGAGGGGCCACUUGAAACUGGCGUGACUCGAGUCCGGCAGGGGAGUGUGGAAUUCCCGGUGUAGCGGUGAAAUGCGCAGAGUAUCGGGAGGAACACCGGUGGCGAAGGCGGCAUCCUGGACCGAUACUGACGCUGAGGAGCGAAAGCGUGGGGAGCGAACGAGGAUUGAUGACCCGUACGUAGUCCAG